rnacentral:rRNA from 1 species
CCUACGGGUGGCAGCAGUGAGGAAUAUUGGUCAAUGGACGCGAGUCUGAACCAGCCAAGUAGCGUGAAGGAUGACUGCCCUAUGGGUUGUAAACUUCUUUUAUAUGGGAAUAAAACGUUCCACGUGUGGGAUUUUGUAUGUACCAUAUGAAUAAGGAUCGGCUAACUCCGUGCCAGCAGCCGCGGUAAUACGGAGGAUCCGAGCGUUAUCCGGAUUUAUUGGGUUUAAAGGGAGCGUAGGUGGAUUGUUAAGUCAGUUGUGAAAGUUUGCGGCUCAACCGUAAAAUUGCAGUUGAAACUGGCAGUCUUGAGUACAGUAGAGGUGGGCGGAAUUCGUGGUGUAGCGGUGAAAUGCUGAGAUAUCACGAAGAACUCCGAUUGCGAAGGCAGUUCACUGGACUGCAACUGACACUGAGGCUCGAAAGUGUGGGUAUCAAACAGGAUUAGAUACCCGUGUAGUC